GAUGAACGCUGGCGGCGUGCCUAACACAUGCAAGUCGAACGGAAUUUACAUGAAGCCUAGCGAUUGUAAAUUUAGUGGCGGACUGGUGAGUAACGCGUGAGCAACCUGCCUACUAGAGGGGAAUAACAGUGAGAAAUCAUUGCUAAUACCGCAUAUGCCGUGAAUAUCACAUGAUAAAACGGGAAGGAGCAAUUCGCUAGUAGAUGGGCUCGCGUCUGAUUAGAUAGUUGGUGGGGUAACGGCCUACCAAGUCGACGAUCAGUAGCCGGACUGAGAGGUUGAACGGCCACAUUGGGACUGAGAUACGGCCCAGACUCCUACGGGAGGCAGCAGUCGGGAAUAUUGCGCAAUGGAGGAAACUCUGACGCAGUGACGCCGCGUAUAGGAAGAAGGUUUUCGGAUUGUAAACUAAUUGUCGUUAGGGAAGAUAAAAGACAGUACCUAAGGAGGAAGCUCCGGCUAACUACGUG
rnacentral:rRNA from 1 species